CUACCCGCCUCAGUAAACUCGCGUCGAAUGGGGCAGAAGACACACGAAACACCGACGACGUCAAGAUGGCCGACUGAUCGAUAAAUCGAACGCGAACCCCCGACCGACUCGGUGAACGCACACGCACGCACGCUCGCGAAAACCCCCAGCGCCGGGCGUCGAGGAAGUCGUGCGGGUACAAACAAUCCGUGUGGUGCGCGUCCGCAUCGCACGCAACGCCCGUACGAACCCACAACGGCAGUGAAUAAGUGCGCGCCCGACCGCCCGAAGGAGACGAGACCCAGCGGGCGAACCAACAACGACGCGCGCCCCUUUCGAACCGCACGCGUGUGUCUAUCUCCACCAUCCGAACGACAUCCGCACCAUAAACUCAACAGUGCACACAGAAAACAAUCCCACAACGCAUAAUAUAAUAAACACAAGUAUUUGUACAUUCAAGUGUGGAGUUGAGCAUCGAUCGGCUGUAAACAUAAACAAUGAGCGGCCGCCGCCGCACGCCGAGCCGCAAAUAAACAACACCGGAAGCGGCCGGAAGAAGACACCGCCAUCAUUCGUCAAUCAAAUCAUUAAGAUGAUACGAAUGCGUAGAUAACUCCCACCACCCCAUCGUCGCCAAUAGCAACUACCACCGUUCUUUUGUUUCGCCCAUCAGCAGCCGCCAGCCACGCCUCCGCCAUGUCGCCGCCAAUGACACGCUGGUAACCAUCAUCCAGCGAAGAGCAGGAGCAGGAGAGGAGGGAGCAGCGAGGAGCGCGAGGGGAAGCUCUGCAGCUGGUCAACUUCUUGGUUGGUUUGGUUCGGACGCGAGAUUUCACCUUGGCGCACGCAGCCGCCGCUUAGAUGGCACAGGCGCAAGGUGAAAUACGGGUUGGUCCUAACAACCAGGUAAAGGACAUUUAUGUACGUAUCAAAUGACGGAAACGAACGCAUCCCAAAGGAUCUUAUUGUAAUUGGAAGUAUUUAGUAGUUAUGCAUGUUUUAUUAUUAAAAUU